UCAUAAAUCUUUUAUUUUAUAUAAAAAUUCGCAGUGUCUUCAUAAUCAUCAUUUCAAUCUGAACACGAAUUCGAGUUCAUUAAGAACAAUCGCCUAUUCUAAUCAUAACUGGAUUGGACAAUCCUUGAUACGGAUGUACGUUUCAUCAAAUUGCUCUAUCAGCGGACGAGGGUGCAUGUAUUCGCUUAUUGCUUCCGCUUAGCUGAGACGAGUAUGUCUUUCCCGUCGCGUUGAAAGUACGACCAAAAGUCUUGUUGGUACCUUGCAUACGUGUCGGAUACAUAUUCGCGAGCAGGAUGUUUCAUAAGGUGCCGCUUUAUAACGAUCCCGAGCGUUCGGUCGUUUCCUGAAUCGAAAACGACGUACUUACGUCGUUCUCAUGACGCGUUGAGUAUCACGGGAACGAGACAAAUUGAAAAGUGUUACUUUCAUGCCAAUAAAACGAGCCAGCUAAUUCCGAUAGAAUAUACUCACAAAGGAUUCAUCUGCGCAAUGUGAAAAUCUAUGAACUAAUUUUAAACUGCCGGUGGAUCUACAUUGGAAAUCUAAUUUUUUAUUAUUUAUUUUUAUGAAUCUAUUGUGAUACUUCAUGUUGCUGGCGUUGUUGGAAAAAUUGUACAAGGUGGAACAAAAAAAUGCGCAGUCUAAUAACUAAAGGUAUAUGAAAGGAUUAUAGCAUUAAAAUUGAGACACGAAAGGAACACAAUCAGCUAGAAGAACUCUCCCAUAAUGAAUACAAUGCUUUACGUAAGAUAGCACGAAUACAUGGGAAAAACUUCAAAAAACGUGACGAUCCUUCAUCGUCGUCAAUAACAAUAGAAAAAAUUAGAAAUAUUGUUCAUUAAAGGAAUCUGAAAAUGAAGCCUUUAUAAAUAUUUGUUCCCUCUGUAAAGAAUGAAAUUUUUACUAUGAAUAAAUGAAACGAUCAAUGGAUGUAAGAUAAAAAACUGUUAAUGGUGGUUUCAGCCUUCUGAAAUUCUCAAUGGUAAGUUCGUUGCAAGGCAGUCAUUAAACGGUUUCAACAUUCUUGAUAAGAUAAUCGAGUACAGCUGACGUGCCUCGAGACUAUUAGCUCCGAUGUUGGGAAUUUUUCGAGUUAUAAUUACAGAAUGAAUUCUCAAUCACGAAGAACAGUAAAAAUAAAAACCACAAAAUCAUCGA